AUAAAUUAAAACUUUCAACAACGGAUCUCUUGGCUCUGGCAUCGAUGAAGAACGCAGCGAAAUGCGAUAAGUAAUGUGAAUUGCAGAAUUCAGUGAAUCAUCGAAUCUUUGAACGCACAUUGCGCCCGCCAGUAUUCUGGCGGGCAUGCCUGUUCGAGCG
rnacentral:rRNA from 1 species